rnacentral:rRNA from 1 species
UACGGAGGGAGCUAGCGUUGUUCGGAAUUACUGGGCGUAAAGCGCACGUAGGCGGCUUUGUAAGUUAGAGGUGAAAGCCCGGGGCUCAACCCCGGAAACUUGCCUUUAAGACGUGCAUCGCUUGAAUCCGGGAGAGGUGAGUGGAAUUCCGAGUGUAGAGGUGAAAGUUCGUAAGAUAUUCGGAAGAACACCAGUGGCGAAGGCGGCUCACUGGACCGGUAUUGACGCUGAGGUGCGAAAGCGUGGGGAGCAAACAGG